AGCGAACGCUGGCGGUAGGCCUAACACAUGCAAGUCGAACGGCAGCACAGUAAGAGCUUGCUCUUACGGGUGGCGAGUGGCGGACGGGUGAGGAAUACAUCGGAAUCUACUUUUUCGUGGGGGAUAACGUAGGGAAACUUACGCUAAUACCGCAUACGACCUACGGGUGAAAGCAGGGGAUCUUCGGACCUUGCGCGAUUGAAUGAGCCGAUGUCGGAUUAGCUAGUUGGCGGGGUAAAGGCCCACCAAGGCGACGAUCCGUAGCUGGUCUGAGAGGAUGAUCAGCCACACUGGAACGGAGACACGGUCCAGACUCCUACGAGAGGAAGCAGUGGGGAAUAUUAGGCAAUGGGGGCAAGCCUGAUCCAGCCAGACCGCGUGGGUGAAGAAGGCGUUCGGGUUGUAAAGCCCUUUUGUUGGGAGAGAAAAGCAGCAGGUUAAUACCCCGCUGUUCUGACGGUACCGAGAGAAUAAGCACCGGCUAACUUCGUG
rnacentral:rRNA from 1 species